UCGAGAAUCUUUGGCAAUGCGCGAAAGCGUGACCAAGCGAUGCCGCGUGCGGGAUGAAGGCCCUCGGGUUGUAAACCGCGAAAGAUGGGAGGAAGGCCCUGUGAAGAGCAGGUUUUGACCGAUCAUCAGUAAGGACGGGCUAAGUUCGUGCCAGCAGCCGCGGUAACACGAACCGUCCAAACGUUAUUCGGAAUUAUUGGGCUUAAAGGGUGCGUAGGCGGCGCGUUAAGUCGGGUGUGAAAUCCCUCAGCUCAACUGAGGAACUGCGCCCGAUACUGGCGUGCUUGAGGGAGACAGGGGUAAGCGGAACUGAUGGUGGAGCGGUGAAAUGCGUUGAUAUCAUCAGGAACACCAGUGGCGUAAGCGGCUUACUGGGUCUCUUCUGACGCUGAGGCACGAAAGCUAGGGUAGCGAACGGGAUUAGAUACCCCCGUAGUCC
rnacentral:rRNA from 1 species